rnacentral:rRNA from 1 species
AAUCAACGCUGGCGGCGUGCCUCAGACAUGCAAGUCGAACGCGAAAGUUUCCUUCGGGGAGCGAGUAGAGUGGCGCACGGGUGAGUAACACGUAGGUAAUCUACCUUCGGAUGGGGAAUAACAAUCGGAAACGGUUGCUAAUACCGCAUAAUGCAGCGGCACCUAAUGGUGACAGUUGUUAAAGCGGGGGAUCGUAAGACCUCGCGUCUGAAGAGGAGCCUGCGGCGGAUUAGCUUGUUGGUAAGGUAAUGGCUUACCAAGGCGACGAUCGGUAGCUGGUCUGAGAGGACGACCAGCCACACUGGAACUGAGACACGGUCCAGACUCCUACGGGAGGCAGCAGUGGGGAAUAUUGGGCAAUGGAGGCAACUCUGACCCAGCCAUGCCGCGUGGGUGACGAAGGUCUUCGGAUUGUAAAGCCCUUUCGGCGGGGACGAUGAUGACGGUACCCGCAGAAGAAGCCCCGGCUAACUUCGUGCCAGCAGCCG